ensembl:lncRNA
AUGGAAGCUGAAGAUACUGAGCAAGCACAGGCACAGGGAGAGGACAGCCAAGGACUUGGUGCUGCUUCCUGGAGGGGAGAACAGAUACACGUGUGUCAGCGCCUCGUUUCAUGUUACAGCGUGUCACAGAGUGAGUUCAUUUAUUUUGUUUCAUAUUAUAAAUAUUAUUGUGCACUCAAAGAAGAGAGAGAAACAUUUUGUAAUGUUUAUAUUAUGUCAGCAAUAAAUAUAAUUUG